GGGGCUAUAGCUCAGUUGGUAGAGCGCCUCGUUCGCAAUGAGGAGGUCUGCGGUUCGAAUCCGCAUAGCUCCACCA
rnacentral:tRNA from 1 species